rnacentral:rRNA from 1 species
AAUCAACGCUGGCGGCGUGCCUAACACAUGCAAGUCGAACGAGAAAGUGGAGCAAUCCAUGAGUACAGUGGCGACCGGGUGAGUAACACGUGACUACCUGCCCUUGAGUGGGGGAUAACUUCGGGAAACCGAGGCUAAUACCGCAUAACAUCGCAAGAUCAAAGGAGCAAUCCGCUGAAGGAGGGGGUCGCGGCUGAUUAGCUAGUUGGUGAGGUAACGGCUCACCAAGGCGAAGAUCAGUAGCCGGCCUGAGAGGGCGCACGGCCACACUGGAACUGAAACACGGUCCAGACUCCUACGGGAGGCAGCAGUGGGGAAUUUUGCGCAAUGGGGGAAACCCUGACGCAGCAACGCCGCGUGGAGGAUGAAGUCCCUUGGGAUGUAAACUCCUUUCGAUCGGGACGAUUAUGACGGUACCGGAAGAAGAAGCACCGGCUAACUCUGUGCCAGCCGCCGCGGUAAUAC